GAUGAACGCUAGCGGCAGGCUUAAUACAUGCAAGUCGAGGGGCAGCGCGGACUUCGGUCUGGCGGCGACCGGCAAACGGGUGCGGAACACGUACACAACCUUCCUUUUAGUGGGGGAUAGCCCAGAGAAAUUUGGAUUAAUACCCCGUAACAUGUUGGUGAGGCAUCUCACUGAUAUUAUAGUGGCAACACGCUAGAAGACGGGUGUGCGUAUGACUAGGUAGUUGGCGGGGUAACGGCCCACCAAGCCUUCGAUCAUUAACUGGUGUGAGAGCACGACCAGUCACACGGGCACUGAGAGACGGGCCCGACUCCUACGGGAGGCAGCAGUAAGGAAUAUUGGUCAAUGGAGGAAACUCUGAACCAGCCAUGCCGCGUGGAGGAUGAAGGUCCUCUGGAUUGUAAACUUCUUUUAUAUGGGACGAAAAAGGGACUUUCUAGUUCAACUGACGGUACCAUAUGAAUAAGCACCGGCUAACUCCGUGCCAGCCGCCGCAGUAAAAC
rnacentral:rRNA from 1 species